UUCUCCACUGGUGUUCCUGUUAGUUACCGAUAUCGCUAUUCUUUCAUUUAUCCCGCUAAAGACAGGUCCUGCUGGCUCAUCACUCUGCUGAAGAGAUUCUGUAGUCUUUCCAGAGCGAUGGAGCUAGCCUGCUCGGGCGCAUUAUCCUGCUGAAAGAGGUCACUUCCAUCAGGGAAUCCCGUUUCCAUGAAUGGGUGUAAAUCAAAGGAACAUCCACAUGAAUGGCAGGAACCAUGGUAGAACAUUGCCUAAAGCAUCACACUGCCCUCUUCCCAUAAUGCAUCAUGGUGCCAUGUGUUCCCAUCGUUGUGAUGAAAAAGAAAACCUGAUUCAUCAGAUCAGCCCACCUUCUUCCAUUGCUCCGUUGUCUAGUUCUGAUGCUCAUGUGCCCAUUGUAAGCUCUUUUGGCAGUGGACAGCAGUCAGCAUGGGCACCCUGACCAGUCUGCAGCUACGGAGCCCAGUAUGCAACAAACUGUGAUGGCCUGUGUGUUGUGACGCCUUUCUAUCAGAACUAGCUUUAACUUUUUCACCAAUUUGAAUCUGUUGGAUUGGACAACACUGGCCUUUGCCACCCAUGACUCUGUCGCCGGUUCACUGCUUUUCCUUCCUUGAAUCACUUUUGAUAGCUACUGACCACCACAGACCAGGAACACCCCACUACAGCUGUAGUUUUGGAGAUGCUUUGACCCAGUUGUCUAGCCAUCACAAUUUGGCCCUUGUCAAAGUCACUCAGAUCCUUAUGCGUGCCAUUUUUUCCUGCUUCCAACACAUCAACUUUGAGGACAAAAUGUUCACUUGCUGCCUGAUAUGUCCCACCCACUGACAGGUGCCAUGAUAACGAGAUAAUCACUGGUAUUCACUUCACGUGUCAGUGUUCAUAAAGUUAUGGCUGAUCGGCGUAUGUUUGUUCAGAAAAUAGACAUUGAGGAUUAAAAGGCAAAUAUAUAUUUCAUGAUAUUCAUGCCCACAGUAUACAAAUUAAUAUAUUUACAGGAACAGAACAUCUCUGUUCUUGAGGGUAGCGUAGUAACACAAGCACAAAUGUGCUGAAGAAAAAAUUCCUGAGUUUAGUUCCUGGAGCUAUUUUAAAUAUAUCAGGCCCAUGUAACCCUAGCAAGGAGCGGGGGGGUAAUGACGUCCAAAUAUGGUCACUUCAAAACACCAAAGGGCAACGGUCAUUAUGCCAAUUUCGAGGUUUCAAAAUGGUAAUUUACAAACCAAUGGGUGGUGUCACGGUGGCUACGUCCACUUCUCAGUCUAUGGUUCGUUCAUGCUAUGUACUUGUCCAUGUUCAAAUAAAAAUGUCUUUCAAAAGACAA